rnacentral:rRNA from 1 species
CCUACGGGCGGCUGCAGUGGGGAAUAUUGGACAAUGGGGGGAACCCUGAUCCAGCCAUGCCGCGUGUGUGAAGAAGGCCCUCGGGUUGUAAAGCACUUUCAGUGAGGAAUAACGCCUGGUGGUUAAUACCCAUCAGGAAAGACAUCACUCACAGAAGAAGCACCGGCUAACUCCGUGCCAGCAGCCGCGGUAAUACGGAGGGUGCGAGCGUUAAUCGGAAUUACUGGGCGUAAAGCGCGCGUAGGUGGCUUGAUAAGCCGGUUGUGAAAGCCCCGGGCUCAACCUGGGAACGGCAUCCGGAACUGUCAAGCUAGAGUGCAGGAGAGGAAGGUAGAAUUCCCGGUGUAGCGGUGAAAUGCGUAGAGAUCGGGAGGAAUACCAGUGGCGAAGGCGACCUUCUGGACUGACACUGACACUGAGGUGCGAAAGCGUGGGUAGCAAACAGGAUUAGAUACCCGGGUAGUC